rnacentral:rRNA from 1 species
UGAACGCUGGCGGCAGGCCUAACACAUGCAAGUCGAGCGGUAGCACAGAGAGCUUGCUCUCGGGUGACGAGCGGCGGACGGGUGAGUAAUGUCUGGGAAACUGCCUGAUGGAGGGGGAUAACUACUGGAAACGGUAGCUAAUACCGCAUAAUGUCGCAAGACCAAAGUGGGGGACCUUCGGGCCUCAUGCCAUCAGAUGUGCCCAGAUGGGAUUAGCUAGUAGGUGGGGUAACGGCUCACCUAGGCGACGAUCCCUAGCUGGUCUGAGAGGAUGACCAGCCACACUGGAACUGAGACACGGUCCAGACUCCUACGGGAGGCAGCAGUGGGGAAUAUUGCACAAUGGGCGCAAGCCUGAUGCAGCCAUGCCGCGUGUGUGAAGAAGGCCUUCGGGUUGUAAAGCACUUUCAGCGGGGAGGAAGGCGGUGAGGUUAAUAACCUCACCGAUUGACGUUACCCGCAGAAGAAGCACCGGCUAACUCCGUGCCAGCAGCCGCGGUAAUACGGAGGGUGCAAGCGUUAAUCGGAAUUACUGGGCGUAAAGCGCACGCAGGCGGUCUGUCAAGUCGGAUGUGAAAUCCCCGGGCUCAACCUGGGAACUGCAUUCGAAACUGGCAGGCUAGAGUCUUGUAGAGGGGGGUAGAAUUCCAGGUGUAGCGGUGAAAUGCGUAGAGAUCUGGAGGAAUACCGGUGGCGAAGGCGGCCCCCUGGACAAAGACUGACGCUCAGGUGCGAAAGCGUGGGGAGCAAACAGGAUUAGAUACCCUGGUAGUCCACGCCGUAAACGAUGUCGAUUUGGAGGUUGUGCCCUUGAGGCGUGGCUUCCGGAGCUAACGCGUUAAAUCGACCGCCUGGGGAGUACGGCCGCAAGGUUAAAACUCAAAUGAAUUGACGGGGGCCCGCACAAGCGGUGGAGCAUGUGGUUUAAUUCGAUGCAACGCGAAGAACCUUACCUGGUCUUGACAUCCACAGAACUUUCCAGAGAUGGAUUGGUGCCUUCGGGAACUGUGAGACAGGUGCUGCAUGGCUGUCGUCAGCUCGUGUUGUGAAAUGUUGGGUUAAGUCCCGCAACGAGCGCAACCCUUAUCCUUUGUUGCCAGCGGUCCGGCCGGGAACUCAAAGGAGACUGCCAGUGAUAAACUGGAGGAAGGUGGGGAUGACGUCAAGUCAUCAUGGCCCUUACGACCAGGGCUACACACGUGCUACAAUGGCAUAUACAAAGAGAAGCGACCUCGCGAGAGCAAGCGGACCUCAUAAAGUAUGUCGUAGUCCGGAUUGGAGUCUGCAACUCGACUCCAUGAAGUCGGAAUCGCUAGUAAUCGUAGAUCAGAAUGCUACGGUGAAUACGUUCCCGGGCCUUGUACACACCGCCCGUCACACCAUGGGAGUGGGUUGCAAAAGAAGUAGGUAGCUUAACCUUCGGGAGGGCGCUUACCACUUUGUGAUUCAUGACUGG